ACCCUAUCUCAAAUUAGCAUGUGAAAUGGAGAGUCCUUCUUAAAGAAGGCUCUUAAUUAAAUGCAUUGCCUUAAAAGAUAAACCAGAUAUCCAUUGAUUUGUCACCAAUUUAAUAUGAGGUUUUUAUGACACGUAGAGGAGGAAGAGUCCUUCCACUAUAAGCAUCUGAUGUGCCAAAAAUUCCAUGCGAUAAAUUUAUUCACUAUGUGAGAAUAUGGAGCGCCAAAGGUUGGCACCCCUUCAUCCCAUGUGACGUCUAUUGGUCCCCUAUUUAUAUGGGAUGCUCCACUUGAUUUUAUGCUAUAAUUUUGGGUUAAAACUAGAGAGGAGGGAUGUGAAAAUCAUUGAAAAAAAUUUUUAAAAAAAUUGAGAAAAAAGCAAGAAAAAUUUGUGUGGCAAAAGUUGCAAGAAGGAUGGUGAGAUUUUUAGUAAGUGUUGCUAGUGUACCAUAGGAUUUAGUUUUUUCAUAUGUUGGAGCCAAAAAUUAAAUCUUAGAUUAUAUGACACUGAAGAGUAUCUUCUUGGUGUCAUUUUGGUAGCA
rnacentral:lncRNA from 1 species